rnacentral:rRNA from 1 species
AGUGAACGCUGGCGGCAUGCCUAACACAUGCAAGUCGAACGGCAGCACAGUAAGAUCUUGCUCUUACGGGUGGCGAGUGGCGGACGGGUGAGGAAUACAUCGGAAUCUACUUUUUCGGGGGGGAUAACGUAGGGCAACUUACGCUAAUACCGCAUACGACCUACGGGGGAAAGCAGGGGAUAUUCGGACCUUGCGCGAUUGAACUAGCCGAUGCCGGACUAGCUGGUUGGGGGGGUAAAGGCCCACCAAGGCGACGAUCCGUAGCUGGUCUGAGAGGAUGAUCGGCCACACUGGAACUGAGACACGGUCCAGACUCCUACGGGAGGCAGCAGUGGGGAAUAUUGGGCAAUGGGCGAAAGCCUGAUCCAGCCAUACCGCGUGGGUGAAGAAGGCCUUCGGGUCGUAAAGCCCUUUUGUUGGGAAAGAAAAGCAGCAGGUUAAUACCCCGCUGUUCUGACGGUACCCAAAGAAUAAGCACCGGCUAACUUCGUG